rnacentral:rRNA from 1 species
GGGACACGUGGUAUCCUGUCUGAAUAUGGGGGGACCAUCCUCCAAGGCUAAAUACUCCUGACUGACCGAUAGUGAACCAGUACCGUGAGGGAAAGGCGAAAAGAACCCCGGCGAGGGGAGUGAAAAAGAACCUGAAACCGUGUACGUACAAGCAGUGGGAGCACGCUUAGGCGUGUGACUGCGUACCUUUUGUAUAAUGGGUCAGCGACUUAUAUUCUGUAGCAAGGUUAACCGAAUAGGGGAGCCGAAGGGAAACCGAGUCUUAACUGGGCGUUAAGUUGCAGGGUAUAGACCCGAAACCCGGUGAUCUAGCCAUGGGCAGGUUGAAGGUUGGGUAACACUAACUGGAGGACCGAACCGACUAAUGUUGAAAAAUUAGCGGAUGACUUGUGGCUGGGGGUGAAAGGCCAAUCAAACCGGGAGAUAGCUGGUUCUCCCCGAAAGCUAUUUAGGUAGCGCCUCGUGAAUUCAUCUCCGGGGGUAGAGCACUGUUUCGGCAAGGGGGUCAUCCCGACUUACCAACCCGAUGCAAACUGCGAAUACCGGAGAAUGUUAUCACGGGAGACACACGGCGGGUGCUAACGUCCGUCGUGAAGAGGGAAACAACCCAGACCGCCAGCUAAGGUCCCAAAGUCAUGGUUAAGUGGGAAACGAUGUGGGAAGGCCCAGACAGCCAGGAUGUUGGCUUAGAAGCAGCCAUCAUUUAAAGAAAGCGUAAUAGCUCACUGGUCGAGUCGGCCUGCGCGGAAGAUGUAACGGGGCUAAACCAUGCACCGAAGCUGCGGCAGCGACGCUUAUGCGUUGUUGGGUAGGGGAGCGUUCUGUAAGCCUGCGAAGGUGUGCUGUGAGGCAUGCUGGAGGUAUCAGAAGUGCGAAUGCUGACAUAAGUAACGAUAAAGCGGGUGAAAAGCCCGCUCGCCGGAAGACCAAGGGUUCCUGUCCAACGUUAAUCGGGGCAGGGUGAGUCGACCCCUAAGGCGAGGCCGAAAGGCGUAGUCGAUGGGAAACAGGUUAAUAUUCCUGUACUUGGUGUUACUGCGAAGGGGGGACGGAGAAGGCUAUGUUGGCCGGGCGACGGUUGUCCCGGUUUAAGCGUGUAGGCUGGUUUUCCAGGCAAAUCCGGAAAAUCAAGGCUGAGGCGUGAUGACGAGGCACUACGGUGCUGAAGCAACAAAUGCCCUGCUUCCAGGAAAAGCCUCUAAGCAUCAGGUAACAUCAAAUCGUACCCCAAACCGACACAGGUGGUCAGGUAGAGAAUACCAAGGCGCUUGAGAGAACUCGGGUGAAGGAACUAGGCAAAAUGGUGCCGUAACUUCGGGAGAAGGCACGCUGAUAUGUAGGUGAAGUCCCUUGCGGAUGGAGCUGAAAUCAGUCGAAGAUACCAGCUGGCUGCAACUGUUUAUUAAAAACACAGCACUGUGCAAACACGAAAGUGGACGUAUACGGUGUGACGCCUGCCCGGUGCCGGAAGGUUAAUUGAUGGGGUCAGCGCAAGCGAAGCUCUUGAUCGAAGCCCCGGUAAACGGCGGCCGUAACUAUAACGGUCCUAAGGUAGCGAAAUUCCUUGUCGGGUAAGUUCCGACCUGCACGAAUGGCGUAAUGAUGGCCAGGCUGUCUCCACCCGAGACUCAGUGAAAUUGAACUCGCUGUGAAGAUGCAGUGUACCCGCGGCAAGACGGAAAGACCCCGUGAACCUUUACUAUAGCUUGACACUGAACAUUGAGCCUUGAUGUGUAGGAUAGGUGGGAGGCUUUGAAGUGUGGACGCCAGUCUGCAUGGAGCCGACCUUGAAAUACCACCCUUUAAUGUUUGAUGUUCUAACGUGGACCCGUAAUCCGGGUUGCGGACAGUGUCUGGUGGGUAGUUUGACUGGGGCGGUCUCCUCCUAAAGAGUAACGGAGGAGCACGAAGGUUGGCUAAUCCUGGUCGGACAUCAGGAGGUUAGUGCAAUGGCAUAAGCCAGCUUGACUGCGAGCGUGACGGCGCGAGCAGGUGCGAAAGCAGGUCAUAGUGAUCCGGUGGUUCUGAAUGGAAGGGCCAUCGCUCAACGGAUAAAAGGUACUCCGGGGAUAACAGGCUGAUACCGCCCAAGAGUUCAUAUCGACGGCGGUGUUUGGCACCUCGAUGUCGGCUCAUCACAUCCUGGGGCUGAAGUAGGUCCCAAGGGUAUGGCUGUUCGCCAUUUAAAGUGGUACGCGAGCUGGGUUUAGAACGUCGUGAGACAGUUCGGUCCCUAUCUGCCGUGGGCGCUGGAGAACUGAGGGGGGCUGCUCCUAGUACGAGAGGACCGGAGUGGACGCAUCACUGGUGUUCGGGUUGUCAUGCCAAUGGCACUGCCCGGUAGCUAAAUGCGGAAGAGAUAAGUGCUGAAAGCAUCUAAGCACGAAACUUGCCCCGAGAUGAGUUCUCCCUGACUCCUUGAGAGUCCUGAAGGAACGUUGAAGACGACGACGUUGAUAGGCCGGGUGUGUAAGCGCAGCGAUGCGUUGAGCUAACCGGUACUAAUGAACCGUGAGGCUUAACCUUACAAC